GACGAACGCUGGCGGCGUGCCUAAUACAUGCAAGUUGAGCGCUGAAGGUUGGUACUUGUACCAACUGGAUGAGCAGCGAACGGGUGAGUAACGCGUGGGGAAUCUGCCUUUGAGCGGGGGACAACAUUUGGAAACGAAUGCUAAUACCGCAUAAAAACUUUAAACACAAGUUUUAAGUUUGAAAGAUGCAAUUGCAUCACUCAAAGAUGAACCCGCGUUGUAUUAGCUAGUUGGUGAGGUAAAGGCUCACCAAGGCGAUGAUACAUAGCCGACCUGAGAGGGUGAUCGGCCACAUUGGGACUGAGACACGGCCCAAACUCCUACGGGAGGCAGCAGUAGGGAAUCUUCGGCAAUGGACGAAAGUCUGACCGAGCAACGCCGCGUGAGUGAAGAAGGUUUUCGGAUCGUAAAACUCUGUUGGUAGAGAAGAACGUUGGUGAGAGUGGAAAGCUCAUCAAGUGACGGUAACUACCCAGAAAGGGACGGCUAACUACGUG
rnacentral:rRNA from 1 species